rnacentral:rRNA from 1 species
UACAGAGGGUGCGAGCGUUAAUCGGAAUUACUGGGCGUAAAGCGUGCGUAGACGGUUAUUUAAGUCGGAUGUGAAAGCCCCGGGCUCAACCUGGGAAUUGCAUUCGAGACUGAAUAGCUAGGGUGCGGUAGAGGGAAGCGGAAUUUCCGGUGUAGCGGUGAAAUGCGUAGAUAUCGGGAGGAACACCAGUGGCGAAGGCGGCGAUCUGGGAAGAUACUGACGCUGAGGUGCGAAAGCGUGGGGAGCAAACAGG